UCCGUAGCCGGCUAAACAAGUUUCCCGUUAAAUCCAGCGAUCUAAUCGUUGGCCUGCGGGAAAUACUGUUUGGCUAGGGGGCGAGAGAGGCCAACGGUAUUUCCGGGGUAGGGGUGAAAUCUUAUAAUCCCGGGAGGACCACCAGUGGCGAAGGCUGUUGGCUAGAACGCGCUCGACGGUGAGGGACGAAAGCUGGGGGAGCGAACCGGAUUAGAUACCCGGGUAGUCCCAGCUGUAAACGAUGUGGACUAGGUGUUAGGGCGGCUACGAGCCGCUCUAGUGCCGCAGGAAAGCCAUUAAGUCCACCGCCUGGGGAGUACGGCCGCAAGGCUGAA
rnacentral:rRNA from 1 species